AUAAAUAAAUAAGUCUUUGAAAAUUCCUCAGUGAUUAGAUAUACAUUUCUGAUAUUGUUUGAAACUCACAAAAGAUGAUCUUCUAUCUUGAUUUAACAUAUCUGAACCAUCAAAGGGGUCCAUGUUGUCACUGAAAAAUUACUGUAUACUCUGCAGAGUAAUUGUUAAUUUUUUUAUUAGAGUAAAUGGAAAAUUUGAAAACAUGCACAUGCUUUUAUUUCUUUUUAAGUAUAUGCUUCUGUUGAAAGUUUUAGUUAACCCUGUGACUAAAUAACUCUCUGUGAUAAAAGACCAUAAUUAGUCAAAUAACAUAUUUUCAGAGGAAUUUGGGGUUGAAGGAUAGGGAUCAGCUGUUCACUGCUCCUUGAACCUAAUAGUGAGUUUUAAUUAUAGUAGAUUAAUUUCUUAUAUUUAGCUAUAAAUUCCAAACAAUGAUAGAGAAAGCUUUAAAUCGCAUUUUAUGUAAUACAGUGUAUAACUCAGCAGAACUAAUAAAUUACCGGUGAAAUGACUUUGAUGUUAUUGUAAUUGUCCAGUUUGAUUCAUUUCAUUCUGUCCGUAUCUUAACUAUUGGACACCUUAAUAAUAUCACAGCCAAUUAACACAGCCAAUAUAUGCUAUCAGUCUUAAUAUCAUAAACAAAUUAUGCUAUCAGUCUUUCUCCACAUCUUAAUACUAAUGUAUUUUGUGGUUAUGAUAAUUAAAUUAUUUUAAGAUGGAUUACCGUUGGUGGGGGAGGGAGGGGUUACAAUAAUUCUGUUGUUUAAAUCCUUCCAUUUUUUAGAUUCCCAGGUAAAGAAGUUUCUGCUGUAGCUAAUCAUAUAUUUGGCUGUUUAGGGGUACCAGAUAACUAAGAAAAAUAUCAACUCUCUUCUUGAAGCAAUAAUAUUCUUUUUUGCCUGUGAUGGACAGCUGUUACUGUGACAUUAAAAAGUGAAUGACAUGAAAAGAUACUGAACAUCAUAAACCACAGUGAGAUACUACCUCACACCCCCUAGAUGGCUAUAAUCAAAAAAGGACAAUUACAAAUGUUGGUGAGGAUGUGGAGAAAUUGGAGUCCUCAUAUAUUGCUGGUAGGAAUGUUAAAUGGUUCAGCACUUUGGAAAAGUUUGCUGUUCCUCAGAAAGCUAAAUAUAGAGUUAACGUAUGUGGCCAGCUGUGUACCCGAGCAAAUUGAAAACAUGUCUACUCAAAAACUUGUACAUGACCAUUUAUGCAAGUGUUAUUCUUAAUAUUCAAAACAACUCAGAUGUUCAUCAAAUGAUGAAUGGAUAAAUAAGAUGAGGUAUGUUUCUGCAAUAGAGUUAUUCAACCAUAUAAAGGAAUGACAGUACAACAUGAAGUUUGAAGUUAGCAACAUGGAUGGACCUGGAAAGCAGUAUGAUAAGUGAAAGAAGCCAGUUAAAAAAGGCUGUAGGUAUUCUAAUUAGUGCACAGACACCUAUUCAACAAUGUAACUGAAACAGAGGGAGCAAUAAUACAAGUAUUGGUUAUGAUAAGUGAAUCAAUGUAAAAAAGUAGAGAAAAACCUGAGUCAGCCAGCUAAAAUGAUUGCAGUGUUGGGGCUAACUUUGAACCCAACCUAAUAUUUCUGUUUCAGUGGAGUAGUGUUACUGGCUUUCUGAAUGACAUGUUUAAAAUUACCGUAUGGCAAUAUCUGAUUCAUCAGAUGCCAGCAGUUGGUUUGGCUGCCAGCCUCUUACCCAAUAUCAGUUUCUUUCCUUCUCGGGGCCAUGGCAAGAAACAAUUCUGACUGAUGCAGGGCUCCAGUUUAGAGCACAGUUGGCCACCUCUCUAACUGUGGUUCAUACCUUCCAGAGGGAAUCCUGCUGGGAAAAAAAAAUGAAGUGAAAUUUUUUAAAAGGGCAACCAGAGGAUAAAUUGGGCAUGAUGAGUAACUAUAUGAACAAGCACUUGUUACUUUUUUUUUUUUUUUUUUUAAUUUAGAUUUCUCUGGUCAAGACUUUAUUCUUUCUUUAUAGUCCUGUGGACAUUAGAGAUCAGGCUGGACAUCGUUAAGAAAUUGAAAAGUUUGAUUAACCUUUGUAGUAUUGUAAAAUCAGUCCCUUUUCAAGUCAUGAUUUUUAUGAACAUAUUUGUUUAAAUAGGUAUAUAGAGAAAUAGAAUAUAAUCAUAAAAUGUGGAUUUUAUAACUCUCCAUUUAGUUUUGUAUCUUCUACAUACACUAUGCUUGGUCCAAGAUAUACUAACAAAGAGACUUAAAGGGUUUUUUAAUCUGCCCGUGUCCCAGAAGAUACAAUGAGGUCCUAACCUCCAAUACUUCAGAAUGUGGCCUCCUUUGGAAGUAGCAUCUUUGUAAAUGUAAUUAAGAUGAAGUCAUACUGAACAAUGGACACCUAAUUCUAUAUGACUGGUGUCUUUAUAAGAUAGGGAAGAAUGCGCCAUAUGAAGAUGGAGGCAGAUAACUGGAGUUAGUAGCCGCAAGCUGAGCUUGGGUUUCCUAAUGCGAAACCCAAAAGCUUAAGAGAAGGGCAUAGAACAGAUUCUCCCCUUGAGCCUUUGAGAGAGCAUGGCUUUGCUGACACCUUGACUUGGGACUUAUGUCCUCCAGAGCUCUGAGAAAAUAAAUUUCUGUUGUUUUAAGCCACCCAGUUUGUGGUAUUUUGUUAGAGCAAGCCCUAGGAAGCUAAUACAGUGAAUAUUAAGAUUUUGAGACUGUCCUACUCAUAUGUGUAUUUAGUUAUUUGUAAGUUAUAUACACUUUAAAAUAUAAACAAAAAUUAGAAAUUGAAGGAUGAGAUUAAAUAAAUAGAAAAUAUUUUUUAAUUUUUUCUUUUUGUAAACAAGUAGUUUUGUGUUCUCCUAGAUAGUGUUCACAUACUCCACUUACAAGACUACUUCUCUUAAGCAAAUGCAUAUAAUCAAGAUAGCAUUGUCAGAUUCUGAGCUAGACUACCUGAGUUUAAAAUGUUUCUGUUCCAUAUACUAGCUAGGUAACCUAGUUUUAAAAUCUGUAAAACAGGGAUAAUAAUAGCACUUAACUCAUAGGGUAUUAACAGGCCUAAUAUUUAUAAUCCAUCUACGUGUUCCUAACCUGUAAUAAGCACUGUAUGAAUGUAGCUAAAGAAAAUGUUAAAAGAGAAGUCAACCCUUCAGAAAAAGGAAGAUAGUAGAUUGCACAACGAUUUGAAGGAAAACAAUUGAGAUCCAGACAUAGAAGCACUUGACCUUUGUGGUUUAGGAUCAUCUCUAUAAAGUAGGAAAGAAAGAUUUUUGUCAAAAAUGAGGGAUUAGACUUGACAAUUUCAUGUUAGUUUUAACUAUGCCUUAUUUCUGCCAUGUUGUUACAGUUUUUGAUGUAGAUGUAUAGCAUGUCGUUCAUUAGGUGAAUUUUUUAGUAUUUUGUACUUUUAGUGCUGUUAUACAUGUUUUUGCUUUUACAUUUUAUUUUCCAACUGUUUGUUCUUAGGAUAUGGGAAAUGUUUGAUUUUUGUAUAUUAAUCUUUUCUUUUGCAUCCUUGCUAAAUUGACUUCUUGGUUCUAGACUUUUGUAGAUUCUUGAGAUUUUCUGCAUAUACAACCAUGUCAUCUGUUGAUAAGGACAAUUUUUUCCCCCCAGUCUUUAUGCUUUUUCCUUUUUCCGUCCUAAGAC